GUGCUGCCAUCUGUGUUUCUAUGUUUGUCGCCUUGUUUGAGCACAUCUCAGAACAAUCAUUUCUUCAUAUCAGAAGCACACUCUCAAGACAUCGGGACGCCAAGGGCCAAACUGUGCAGUCAACACAGCUGAACAUCAUGUAUGAACUGAACGACAUCUAUGCCAAUGUGGAGGACCUGUCGGGCAAACGAAGGAGUAUAUCCCAAAGCUCUGAAGUGUUUAUGAAAAUGUGAUGAUCAACACUCUGAAGCCAAGCAGAAGUGGACCCUCGCCCUCAGGUGUUGGAGAUGUGAAGAAGAGUUCCUUUAGAGCCGUGGCAGUGCUUCUGGGUCUCCUGAGUUUCUUCCUUCUGACAGGACUCAUAACUUCGGUUUGCCUGUUCACCAAAGGCAUCUCACAGAGGGAAAUGGAGAUAAUCCUGUUACAGACCAGUUACACCAACCUGACUAAAGAAAGAGACAACCUCUUGAAAGGAGUUCAACACUUGGGCAAUGAACUAAAUAUUUGUCUCACAAAGAUACAAAGUAAGUGUGUAUUUCUUAGUUCUUGCAGUCCAAACGAAUAGCUUGAACCCCACUUACUGUUAUCACCAUGGCUGUAGUGGAGAGAACGUUUACACACACACACACACACACACACACACACACACACACACACACACACACACACACACACACACACACACACACACACACACACACACACGUGGAUCCACCCGCCUGUUCGAUGGAUUCAUUAGCUACGUUGACUUUUGGAGCUUUCUCUUGAUGGUUAAGUGUUAACUUGCAGGAUGGCUUUUUUCAUACUAUACGGUUCAGCUGUAACACCCUGGGCCUUCUAAGGUCCUAUAGAGGUCCUUUCUUUUGUCUCCCCCUCAACCCCCAUCAUUUUUUUGAGGGCUACACAUACUUUUCUACUGUUUUCUUGAAAUGUAAUAAACUACAAACACAUGUAUUCACUGUCAUUGAUUGUAUAUUACUUUAACUGAUAACAUAAUGCAAUAUAGCCAAGACAGCCUUACAGAGUCGCAACGCUUUGUGUUGCGCUGCAUCGCACCGAGGUCUGUAUGAUCAGACAAUUCAUAGUUUACCCACCUCUAAUUUUACCCCUACAGCACUGGUUAUAACUCUUCUCUGUGAUCAAAGAGUAACUUUACCUUAACUUGACUUAACUCUCAAUCCCUUUCGACAGCUUAAAACCAAUGUAUUUAGUAUUGUUGUUUAUGUAUUCAGAUCAAAAUGUUGAUGUUUGAGUGCAAAGUAUUUGAAUCUUACUUCAGCCACAACUGUCGCGUUCAGUAACUUUGGUAAACUCACGUCUUUUCAACAAUUUAGUCUUCGUUUUCAAAAAUGUACGUAUUGGUCAGACUUAACCAGGGGCCACGCUAGUUUUGAGGAGCGAAGCCAAAGCAGUAGUGUCCUAAGCUUAUAUUCUUUCUGCUGACCAGCAGGGGGAGACUCCUCUGCUUCCAAAACGAAGUCAAGUAUUGAUGAGAAAAUGACCCUACUUGUCACUUAAUUUAGUACCGUAGUAAACAUUGUUUCAAUUGCUAGUUUUAAAUCUUCUUAAACACAGUGUGAUUGUCAUUCUGUGAAUUAUGGUCCAUUUAGAGUAAUACAGAACAUAAGGGGGAUCAUGCUUUAGAGCUACUUUGUGAUUGAAAGGUCGACACCUUUACACGUUUCUCUCCCCAAAGUCCGUAUUGUAAGAUGUCCGAAUUGUGGAAAUUCAAGGCUUCAAAAUGGUACUUUUAUAAUCAAAUUCUUUUGUAAUUCAACAUCAGAGGGGUUUUCCUUUAUCCAGACUCAGUCUGAGUAGUGCAGCAUUUUGCUUUUACGGCUCAUGGAUAUUGUACUAUGGUCCAAACUUUGUUUCUUAACUACCUGGCUAUUGUUUUCCCCCCAAUUUAAAGCAAAUGCGUUAUCCAACCAAAGACGGGCGUAUAAUGGCGUAUUUCAUGGACGGGUAAGAAGAGAUGGAAAUGGGUGGAUGGGACGCCGCUGACCAAAAGGUGAAUGACUUUACUCAUCUGUUGUAGGCCAGGCCCUUACCAAUACGUACAAUAAGCUUUCUUUCAUUGUUCUGUUAUUUACAAGUCAACCCUUCUGAACAUUACAAUAACGUUUCGACCCCCAUUAAAAAAAAACAUGAUGGAUCUCAAAAGGUUGUGAAAUGCAUCUGUAAAAAAAAAUUCUAGUUGACCCUGGAUGAAAAAUCACAGGAGAUUUAUUUUAAUACUUGCAGGUCGGAGCAGAGUUGAAGAGGGUCGCGGGGGGGCUGGAGUCCAUCCCAGCCAACUUCGGGCGAUAGACAGGGUACAUCCUGGAUUGGUCGCCAGCCAAUCGCAGGGCUACACAGAGACAUAUAACCAUUCACACUCACACAUCUACGGGCAAUUUAGAGUCCCCAAUUAACCUGAUCCCCAGAGCAUGUCUUUGGACUGUGGGAGGAAGCCGGAGAACCCGGAGAGAACCCACGCAGACACGGGGAGAACAUGCAGACUCCACACAGAAAGGCCACUGGGCGGAAUCGAACCCAGGACCUUCUUGCUGUGAGGCAACAGUGCUAACCACCAUGCCACCGUGCCGCCCUCUUAAUAAAUAUGUGGUCAAUUUUAUGUUUCCUGCCCUAUUUUAACUUCUACUUCUUCUACAUACAAGUAUUGACAAGUAUUUUUGGGUUGAAUAUAGUUUUGACCCAGUUCUAUAAUUUUUUGGAAUAAACAUUUGCUUUCAUUCUUCACUUAAAUAUAUUUUUACAUAUUCGCUUUGUUAUAUGUUUAGGAUUUCAGAUAUAUAUUUUUAGAGUAUUUCCCUCCAGCUCAUACCUUUACAAACAGACAUGUAUAACAGACAUACUGAAGGUUUUGCAUAUAUACUGUGCUCAGUGGACAAAUAUAUAAAUGCCAUAACUGCCAUUUGACAAGGUUGUACAAUGUGCUUAAUUACUUGUUUGAUUUUUCCCCCCCACUGGGUUUCUGCCCAAGACUUGGUCGCUCAUCGUCAUAUUCUACUGCCUCCUCCUGGUUUCCUUUGUAUUUGAUGUGUCUUCCCUCUUUUGUUCCCUAUUUGUCAAGAGUGAGCUGAUAUUCUCCCCUAUUCAAUCAAUUCAGAGGAUGUCAAAUAGGGGAAUAAAUAGUUAUGCUGAAAGACAAUAUCCGACUCUCACUUAAAACUUUUUCACUUUA
ensembl:lncRNA